rnacentral:rRNA from 1 species
UGGGGAAUAUUGGACAAUGGGCGAAAGCCUGAUCCAGCAAUACCGCGUGUGUGAAGAAGGCCUGAGGGUUGUAAAGCACUUUCAAUGGGAAGGAAUACCUGCUGGUUAAUACCCGGCAGACUGACAUUACCCAUACAAGAAGCACCGGCUAACUCCGUGCCAGCAGCCGCGGUAAUACGGAGGGUGCAAGCGUUAAUCGGAAUUACUGGGCGUAAAGCGUGCGUAGGCGGUUAUUUAAGUCAGAUGUGAAAGCCCUGGGCUUAACCUGGGAACUGCAUUUGAUACUGGGUGACUAGAGUUGAGUAGAGGAGAGUGGAAUUUCAGGUGUAGCGGUGAAAUGCGUAGAGAUCUGAAGGAACACCAGUGGCGAAGGCGGCUCUCUGGACUCAAACUGACGCUGAGGUACGAAAGCGUGGGUAGCAAACA